CUAGAUUGACCACUGCCUUUUAAAUGAUUUAAUAGUAUAAAAAGGGGCCUUGCUAAGUGAUUAGCACCAAUUAUACUUAUGAUACGUAUCUGUUUAAAAUAAUGUUUUCCUAUGCAUAUUUAAUUUUGCAUUGGAUUACACCCACUUUGAUCAGCUACACGUUCACACCCUCACAGUAUCCAAAAUCUUGAUUUUUGCUUUGCAAUCAUCAAUCAACUCAUGAUUUAUCAUAAAAUAUAUUUUCGACAAUUUUCUCGGCAUAUAGACUCGGCAACAGCGAAAGUUUUUGGGAAUGUGAAUUUCCUACUUCCAAUAAUUUUAUUGUCAAAAGAGGUAGGAUACUUUUAUGUGCAAGUGAUAUGUCCUUUCAAUAUUAUGAUUUUUAUGCGUGAUUUAUUUCAUGAAAUGCUAAUUGACCUGCGGGUCCCAAUGAAAUGAAAUGAAAUGUGAGAUCGCCUUCGGGCCUUCUCAAAUGUGCUAGAGCUUUCGACUGAUCACCGAUUGUUCUUGAUGAAAUGAUGGUAUGAAAUGUUAUGAAUUUACGUUUUAAAAGUUAUCAUAUUG
rnacentral:lncRNA from 1 species